rnacentral:rRNA from 1 species
AAAAGGUGCUGGGGCACACCCCCCGGCGCCUUUUUUCGACCCAAAAAGCCCAGAGUUGGACACCCCCUGUGGGGCAUAUCGAACCCGGCGCGUGGGUCCCCCCCCAUUUGGCCAAGGGAAGGGGCUUCAACGUUUGUCAACACCGAGAAAGUUGCCGAAUACCAGUUCCUAAGGAAAUGUUUGGCUUUGUGUUGCCCGGGUUCAACACCGCAUGAUCUAAGUACAACUUUUGCAAGCAACCGGAUCGUCUUGGGUCUCUCCUGCAUCGAUUGGAAGGAACGCAUGCGAAAUGCGAAUACGGUAAUGUGAAUUGCAGAAUUCAGUGAAUCAUCGUAUCUUUGAACGCACCUUGCGCCCCUUGGCAUUCCGAGGGGCACACCCGUUUGAGUCUCGUGUAAAUCCUCAAAGCCCCCUUUUCUUUCAGUCGGAACGUGGGAUUUUGGACUUUGGAGGUUCUAUAUGCCUUGCUUUAUGCUUUCAAAGGCGAGCGUCCUGCUUAAAUGAAUCAGUGGGGUCCGCUUUGCUGAUCCUUGACCGUGACUAUAUAUGUUUUCUACGUUGUUGGAUUCUGGCAACUGUGUUUCUGCCGCUCGCUAAUUCGUCUCAUUGACAAUGAUGGUGUCUUCGGUCCCCUGCCAUCUACGCUUGGCGGGACGGCUGGACCCACAAAAGAUAAAAACCUUGGACCUCAAAUCGGGUGAGAGCUACCUCGCUGAACUUAAGCAUAUCAAUAAGCGGAUGGAUAAAGAAACGUAAGCAAGGAUUCCCCUAGUCAAUCUUGCGAGUGAAGCGGGAAACGCUCAAAUUUAAAUAUCUGGUGUCGUUCGCCGUCCGUCGCUUGUAUUAAUA